rnacentral:rRNA from 1 species
UACGUAGGCAGCGAGCGUUGUUCGGAGUUACUGGGCGUAAAGAGUGCGUAGGCGGUUUCGUAAGUUUGGUGUGAAAUCUCCCGGCUUAACUGGGAGGGUGCGCCGAAAACUGCGGGGCUUGAGAGUGGGAGAGGUAAGCGGAAUUCCUGGUGUAGCGGUGAAAUGCGUAGAUAUCAGGAGGAACACCGGUGGCGAAGGCGGGUCUCUGGGCCGAUAUUGACGCUGAGGAGCGAAAGCGUGGGGAGCGAACAGG